rnacentral:ncRNA from 25 species
CAGUGCAAUAUUAAAAGGGCAU